AUACUUAACUGGCAGGAGGAUUCCAUGAUCACUAAGGUGGUUUCCCCAGGAUGAGGCUCACCCAUUGCACUCGGGGCAUACUGAUCCCUGCGAUUUCCCCAAAAGUGGGAAACUCGACUGCAUAAUUUAUGGUAGUGGGGGUCUGCAUGUGUGCUCUCCCCUA